rnacentral:lncRNA from 1 species
UGCAGAAAGACUCCUGUUGUCCACCUCGGGAGCUGACACGAUAAAUGCGGACAAUGAGUAGCCACUGCUGUUUGCCCUGGCCCAUCAAUGAGAAGAUCUGCUCUUAGAGCCCUGCUUUCCUGCUGAAGGCCCUGAAAUCACCUGUGUUCCAGGCCACCUGCUAACAAUAAAUAAUGCUGCCCUGAUGUGGGGAAUUAGCUCAAGUGGUAGAGCGCUUGCUUAGCACGCAAGAGGUAGUGGGAUCGAUGCCCACAUUCUCCAAGCUUUAUUAUUUAGACAUCGUGUCUCCAAACACUCAGGUCUCCAAACCCAAGUUAGUGUCUGAGAACAGGAUGCUGCUUUGGUUCAAGACGUAGGAGCAGCAAUAAUAGAGGGCUGGUGAUGGCUCCCUCUUGGCAUUCAGUAUAGUGUAGAUCUACCAUGUAAUUAAUUCUCUGUUUCUUUGAGGAGCUGUGAAACCAAGGGACAUAUACAACUGCUCUUUUCUCCCUGUUUCUACCUGCAGCUUUGUCCUAAAUGUGAGACAAUUAUGAAAAGUGCAGCGCAGAGCCACUUGGGUAAAUACAGCCCCGGCUUUCUGCUCAGGGGACAGAGUUUGAGGCACUGCAGAGGAACCGGCCAAAGUAUGAGACCCAUAUAUUGAGAGUAACAGAGUGUAAAGUUCAAAAAAAU